CCUACGGGAGGCAGCAGUGAGGAAUAUUGGUCAAUGGACGCAAGUCUGAACCAGCCAUGCCGCGUGCAGGAAGACGGCUCUAUGAGUUGUAAACUGCUUUUGUACGAGGGUAAACGCAGAUACGCGUAUCUGUCUGAAAGUAUCGUACGAAUAAGGAUCGGCUAACUCCGUGCCAGCAGCCGCGGUAAUACGGAGGAUUCAAGCGUUAUCCGGAUUUAUUGGGUUUAAAGGGUGCGUAGGCGGUCGGAUAAGUUAGAGGUGAAAUCCCGGGGCUCAACUGCGGAAGUGCGUCUGAUACUGGUCGGCUAGAGAGGAGUUGCGGUAGGCGGAAUGUAUGGUGUAGCGGUGAAAUGCUUAGAGAUCAUACAGAACACCGAUUGCGAAGGCAGCUUACCAAGCUACUUCUGACGUUGAGGCACGAAAGCGUGGGUAGCAAACAGGAUUAGAUACCCUUGUAGUC
rnacentral:rRNA from 1 species